rnacentral:rRNA from 1 species
UACAGAGGUCUCAAGCGUUGUUCGGAUUCAUUGGGCGUAAAGGGUGCGUAGGCGGUCGGGUAAGUCGGAUGUGAAAUCCCAGGGCUCAACCCUGGAACUGCAUUCGAUACUGCCUGGCUAGGGUACUGGAGAGGAGACUGGAAUUUACGGUGUAGCAGUGAAAUGCGUAGAUAUCGUAAGGAAGACCAGUGGCGAAGGCGAGUCUCUGGACAGUUACCGACGCUGAGGCACGAAGGUCAGGGGAGCAAACGGG